UGAAUUUAUAUGAUGAAAAAGAAAACAAUGUGGACGCUCAGAUUUAUUCUUCACGUAAGGAGCCCUUACUCCUCACGUAAGCACAUCCCGUGUUCUUGCUGCAGCCGCCUUCUUAUCUAUCCCCGGGCGUUCUUUCCGUGGUGCCUUUGGCUUGAUCCCGUAGGCACUGUUCGCCUCACUUCAGCAUCGCCCCACAGAUGAUGGUUAUGUGCGGCCAAUUCCUCUACGACUCAACGAUCCAAUCUGGUGCGAUCUUUCCCAAUCUCGAUUUGUUUUCCAGCGAGGACUGAAAAGUUGGGUCUGCUAUUUUCAUAAUGUAUUGCUGGUGUUGUGACCGUGGACGACGGAUUCGUGGCAGCCCACAGCGCCAGUAGCGCUGCUUUGUACGCGGCGGCGGCAUGUUCAGAAGCGCGUAAAGUAGAUCCACUUGCAUCGCAGCAGUCAACACGUACAUGUGUACGCAACCAGACAUACAGAUGCGGAAUACAUGAGCAUGAUUGAGGAUUGCUGAGGUAUGAAAAGAUAUGAGGAAGGUUUCGGCCGGGGCAAUGGCAAAUUGAUAAUUACAACAGGCGCAACGUGUGUAUAUUUUCUAGGGAACAUGCCUACUUUUUGUAAGCAUCACAAUGCAUACAUUUAUUUUAACAACCAAGGAGCACAGGUUUUUCAUGUUGUUAUGUAUUCAUUCUUCUUUCUAGGGAAUCUAUUUAUUCUCCCUUUUUUCUUAAUUCCCAUUGGAAUGCUUCCUGCUAAUACUUCAUUCCAGUUUCAAGUUGAGAUGGGCUAACUUUCCGCCAUCUAUCUAUUACAUGGCACAGUAAGAUAAGUUUUUAUGGCACAAGGCAUUUCUUUAAGUGAGGCGUAUUCUCUUGAUGGCUAGCUCAUCUUUCAGGGUAGUCACUAUUCAAUAAGGAAUAAUUUUUCGUCCACGUCACAGGUAUCAGCGACCAUGGUAAAUAGUUAUACCAGUUACAAAAAAAAAAUGAUGCUAAACAUGUGCAUAAUAAUGUUUAUCCAAAUAUAUAAUUUGUCUCUUCUUCUGUUCAUAGGCCUUCUCAAACCAGACUAACUACCCAUAACAUCUUCACUUUGACUACCUUUCUAUUUCAAUUGAGAAGUUUUCCUUGGCAAUGGAAUUUAAAUGGAUUCUUACAUCCUUUGUGUUACUUUUCCCAUGAAAAACAACCUGUAGUUCUAUUUUUACAAAAUUAUAUGGAUGUAAUGUAGGAGUAUUCUUUUUUCUGUCCUUUGAGCCUCCACUUUUCUGAUAUUUGUUGCUCCUUGAAGACGUUAAUUUUUGAAGAUUGUAUGCUUAAUGUUGUUUCUACGGUACGAAGUAUAAUCUAUGAUUAUCUACAAGAUAUAUCAAAGCUAUCGAUCUAUUGAGUGCAGAUAGAUUCACUUAAAGAAUAUGUAGACCAUUAUUAGUUGACAUAAUUCACUACUACUCCUUCCAACCCAAAAUAAGUGCCUUUGGUUCAUACAACUUUGUACUAAAGUUGUACUAAGCCAAAGGCACUUAUUUUGGGAUGGAGGGAGUAUUAAUUAUGUGAAGCACAUAAAAGAGCACUUGAAAUAUGAUAUGUGAAAAUAUGUACCAUAUUUCCUGUAGGUCACUUCUCUAAAAUCCAUAUCCACCCAAAAAAUCAAGAAGACUUCGAGAAAGUGGAUUAUUCAUUUGAAAUAUCAUCGUCUAAAGCCUUUUUUGCAGUACAACAAAGUUGGCCGUAAAUAGAAACAUGUAGAACAUAAGUACUUCACACAUCCAGCUUUAUUUUUUCAUGGGCUGCCUCAUUAAAACAUGUGUGGCAUAUGUACCGAAAAUAAGAAAUAUGUUAUACAUUGUCAGGAGAAAUCUGAGAUUUUUUAUAUGCUGUGUCAAAUAGUUCAAAAAUAUUAAAUGUUAGGAGUCAUUACAUUAUAAGAGUCACAUAUGCGCAUGAUUACAUUUACUUAAUUAAGCUACUGUUUGCACCAAAAGCUUUCAAGGAAGGUUUGUCUGAACACUUUCAUGCCUAUUGGUGGGGAUAUAUGCAAAUACACCCAAUUCUCUUACUGAUGUACAUGUGAAGCUCCAAGGGCAUCCUUGACGACACGAUAUUAGAAAAGUCACCUUCUUCUCUUAAUUCCUGAUUAUUAUUAUUUUUGCAUUUUGAUGUUCUUAUUUAUGCAAUACAUGCAUUGGAAGAAAAGGUUCCAUGUUUGCAUCAUAUGCCAGUGUAUGGGGACAUGGUUUUUCUUUGUGAUGGAAUAUCCUUCGUAGUCAUGAAUUUGAGGGAAAUUUAUUUAUCAUGAAAGUUGUGGUUUUCUAAUAUAUUUUAUGCAU